GUGCUCCCCUCAGCAGCACAUAUACUAAAAUUGGAAGGAUACAGAGAUUAGCAUGGCCCCUGCCCAAGGAUGACAUGCAAAUUCGUGAAGCAUUCCGUAUUUUC